rnacentral:rRNA from 1 species
GCUGGACGUAUCACAAGUGCGAAUGCUGACAUAAGUAACGAUAAAACGGGUGAAAAACCCGUUCGCCGGAAGACCAAGGGUUCCUGUCCAACGUUAAUCGGGGCAGGGUGAGUCGGCUCCUAAGGCGAGGCUGAAAAGCGUAGUCGAUGGGAAACAGGUUAAUAUUCCUGUACUUGGUAAAGCUGCGAUGUGGGGACGGAGUAGGUUAGGUUAUCGCACUGUUGGAUAUGUGCGUUUAAGUUGGUAGGUGGGAAGUUUAGGCAAAUCCGGACUUCCUUAACACAGAGAGAUGAUGACGAGGCUCUACGGAGCUGAAGUAACUGAUACCACACUUCCAGGAAAAGCCACUAAGCGAAAGGCUUUACUAAACCGUACUGAAAACCGACACAGGUGGUCAGGUAGAGAAUACUCAGGCGCUUGAGAGAACUCGGGUGAAGGAACUAGGCAAAAUAGCACCGUAACUUCGGGAGAAGGUGCGCCGGCGUAGAUUGUAGUCCCUAGCGGGCGAAGGUUGAACCGGUCGAAGAUACCAGCUGGCUGCAACUGUUUAUUAAAAACACAGCACUCUGCAAACACGAAAGUGGACGUAUAGGGUGUGAUGCCUGCCCGGUGCUGGAAGGUUAAUUGAUGGUGUCAUCGCAAGAGAAGCACCUGAUCGAAGCCCCAGUAAACGGCGGCCGUAACUAUAACGGUCCUAAGGUAGCGAAAUUCCUUGUCGGGUAAGUUCCGACCUGCACGAAUGGCAUAAUGAUGGCCAGGCUGUCUCCACCCGAGACUCAGUGAAAUUGAAAUCGCCGUGAAGAUGCGGUGUACCCGCGGCUAGACGGAAAGACCCCGUGAACCUUUACUAUAGCUUGACACUGAACAUUGAAUUUUGAUGUGUAGGAUAGGUGGGAGCCUUUGAAGCAGUGACGCCAGUCAUUGUGGAGGCGACCUUGAAAUACCACCCUUUAACGUUUGAUGUUCUAACGAAGAUGACGAAACGUGGUCUCGGACAGUGUCUGGUGGGUAGUUUGACUGGGGCGGUCUCCUCCCAAAGCGUAACGGAGGAGCACGAAGGUUUGCUAAUCACGGUCGGACAUCGUGAGGUUAGUGCAAUGGUAUAAGCAAGCUUAACUGCGAGACAGACAAGUCGAGCAGGUACGAAAGUAGGUCAUAGUGAUCCGGUGGUUCUGAAUGGAAGGGCCAUCGCUCAACGGAUAAAAGGUACUCCGGGGAUAACAGGCUGAUACCGCCCAAGAGUUCAUAUCGACGGCGGUGUUUGGCACCUCGAUGUCGGCUCAUCACAUCCUGGGGCUGAAGUAGGUCCCAAGGGUAUGGCUGUUCGCCAUUUAAAGUGGUACGCGAGCUGGGUUUAGAACGUCGUGAGACAGUUCGGUCCCUAUCUGCCGUGGGCGUUGGAUGAUUGAUUGGGGCUGCUCCUAGUACGAGAGGACCGGAGUGGACGCAUCACUGGUGUUCCAGUUGUCUCGCCAGAGGCAUUGCUGGGUAGCUAAAUGCGGAAGAGAUAAGUGCUGAAAGCAUCUAAGCACGAAACUUGCCAAGAGAUGAGUCAUCCCUGACUUUAAGUCAGUAAGGGUUGUUGUAGACUACGACGUAGAUAGGUCAGGUGUGUAAGUGUAGUGAUACAUUGAGCUAACAGAUACUAAUUGCCCGAGAGGCUUAACUAUACAACGCUCAAG